GAUGAACGCUAGCGGCAGGCUUAAUACAUGCAAGUCAUGGGGCAGCAUGAUGUAGCAAUACAUUGAUGGCGACCGGCAAACGGGUGCGGAACACGUACACAACCUUCCUUUUAGUGGGGAAUAGCCCAGAGAAAUUUGGAUUAAUACCCCAUAAGAUAAUGAGACGGCAUCAUCUUAUUAUUAAAGCUUCGGCGCUAGAAGAUGGGUGUGCGGCUGAUUAGGUAGUUGGCGGGGUAACGGCCUACCAAGCCUACGAUCAGUAGCUGAUGUGAGAGCAUGAUCAGCCACACGGGCACUGAGACACGGGCCCGACUCCUACGGGAGGCAGCAGUAAGGAAUAUUGGACAAUGGACGCAAGUCUGAUCCAGCCAUGCCGCGUGAAGGAUUAAGGUCCUCUGGAUUGUAAACUUCUUUUAUUUGGGACGAAAAAAGAUCAUUCUUGAUCACUUGACGGUACCAGAUGAAUAAGCACCGGCUAACUCCGUGCCAGCCGCCGCCGUAAUAC
rnacentral:rRNA from 1 species